GGGGGAUUUCUGAAAAGAAAACGCGUGAUUUUCGUGUUAAAUGGAAGAUUCCUGAAGAGAAAAUGCAUGAUUUUUGCUUAAACGGCGGAUUUGUGAAGAGAAAAUGCGUGAUUUUUGCUUAAAUGGGGGAUUUGCGAAGAGAAAACGCGUGAUUUUCGGGUUAAAUGGAAGAUUCCUGAAGAGAAAAUGCGUGAUAUUUGCUUAAAUGGCGGAUUUGUGAAGAGAAAACGUGUGUUUUUCGCUUAAAUGGGGGAUUUGCAAAUUGAAAAUGUGCCAUUUUCGGGUUAAAUGGGGGAUUUGUGAAGAGAAAACAUGUGUUUUCCACAUAAAUGGGGGAUUUGCGAAGAGAAAACGCGUGAUUUUCGCAUAAAUGGGGGAUUCUCGAAGAGAAAAUGCGUGAUUUUCGCUUAAAUGGGGGAUUUGCGAAGAGAAAACGCAUGAUUUUCGGGUUAAAUGGAAGAUUCCUGAAGAGAAAACGCGUGAUAUUUGCUUAAAUGGCGGAUUUGUGAAGAGAAAACGUGUGUUUUUCGCUUAAAUGGGGAUUUGCAAAUUGAAAAUGUGCCAUUUUCGGGUUAAAUGGGGGAUUUCCGAAGAGAAAACAUGUGUUUUCCACAUAAAUGGGGGAUUUGCGAAGAGAAAACGCGUGAUUUUCGCAUAAAUGGGGGAUUCUCGAAGAGAAAAUUUGUGAUUUUCGCUUAAAUGGGGGAUUCUCAAAGAGAAAACGCUUGAUUUUCACCUAAAUUGACGAUUCUCAAAGAGAAAACGCGAGAUUUUCGCUUAAAUGGGGGUUUUGCAAAGGGAGAACGUGUGAUUUUUGCUCAAAAGGGGGAUUUCAGAAAACGCCUGAUUAUCGCUUAAAUGUUGGAUAUUCGAAGAGAAAACGUGUGAUUUUCAAGUUAAAUGGGGGAUUUCCGAAGAGAAAACGCGUGAUUUUCGCUUAAAUGGGGGAUUUGAGAAAACGCGUGAUUUUCGUUAAAUGUUGGAUUCUCGAAGAGAAAAUGCGUGAUUUUCGCUUAAAUGGUGGAUUUCUGAAAAGAAAACGCGUGAUUUUCGGGUUAAAUGGAAGAUUCCUGAAGAGAAAAUGCGUGAUUUUCGCUUAAAUGGCGGAUUUGUGAAGAGAAAACGUGUGUUUUUCGCUUAAAUGGGGGAUUUGCAAAUUGAAAAUGUGCCAUUUUUGGGUUAAAUGGGGGAUUUGAGAAGAGAAAAUGCGUGUUUUUUGCGUUAAAUGGGGGAUUCUCGAAGAGAAAACGCAUGAUUUGCGGGUUAAAUGGGGGAUUCUCGAAGAGAAAACGCGUGAUUUUCGCUUAAUUGGAGGACUUGCGAAGAGAAAACGGAUGUUUUUAGGGUGAAAUGGGGGAUUCUCGAAGAGAAAAUAUGUGAUUUUUUCUUUAAUGGGGGAUUUGCAAAAAGAAAACGUGAUUUUCACAUAAAUAUGGGAUUUGUGUAGAGAAAACACGUGAUUUUUGCUUAAGUGGGGGAUUCACGAAGUGAAGAACGAGUGAUUUUCGGGUUGAAUGGAGGUUUCUCGAAGAGAAAACGUGUGAUUUUCGCUUAAAUGGGGGAUUUGAGAAGAGAAAACGUGAUUUUCGCUUAAAUGGGGGAUUUCCAAAGAAAAAACAUGUGAUUUUCGCUUAUAUGGGGGAUUUGAGAAGAGAAAAUUUGUGAUUUUCGCUUAAAUGGGGGAUUCUCAAAGAGAAAACGCUUGAUUUUCACUUAAAUUGACGAUUCUCAAAGAGAAAACGCGAGAUUUUCGCUUAAAUGGGGGUUUUGCGAUGGGAAAACGUGUGAUUUUCGCUUAAAAGUGGGAUUUCUGAAGAGAAAACUCGUGUUUUUUUGUGUUAAAUGGGGGAUUUGCGAAGAGAAAACGCGUGAUUUUCGCUUAAAUGGG
ensembl:lncRNA